rnacentral:rRNA from 1 species
GACGUACGCUGGCGGCGUGCUUAACACAUGCAAGUCGAACGGAAAGGCCCUGCUUGCAGGGUACUCGAGUGACGAACGGGUGAGUAACACGUGGGUGAUCUGCCCUGCACUUCGGGAUAAGCCUGGGAAACUGGGUCUAAUACCGGAUAGGAGCCAUUUUUAGUGUGAUGGUUGGAAAGUUUUUUCGGUGUAGGAUGAGCUCGCGGCCUAUCAGCUUGUUGGUGGGGUAAUGGCCUACCAAGGCGGCGACGGGUAGCCGGCCUGAGAGGGUGGACGGCCACAUUGGGACUGAGAUACGGCCCAGACUCCUACGGGAGGCAGCAGUGGGGAAUAUUGCACAAUGGGCGCAAGCCUGAUGCAGCGACGCCGCGUGGGGGAUGACGGCCUUCGGGUUGUAAACUCCUUUCGCUAGGGACGAAGCUUUUUGUGACGGUACCUAGAUAAGAAGCACCGGCUAACUACGUG